rnacentral:rRNA from 1 species
UACGGGGGAAAGCAGGGGAUCUUCGGACCUUGCGUUAAUGGAGCGGCUGAUAUCUGAUUAGCUAGUAGGUGAGGUAAAGGCUCACCUAGGCUUCGAUCAGUAGCUGGUCUGAGAGGACGACCAGCCACACUGGAACUGAGACACGGUCCAGACUCCUACGGGAGGCAGCAGUGGGGAAUUUUGGACAAUGGGGGCAACCCUGAUCCAGCCAUUCCGCGUGAGUGAAGAAGGCCUUCGGGUUGUAAAGCUCUUUCGCAAGGGAAGAAACGUUACGAGCGAAUAACUCGUGAUAAUGACGGUACCUUGAUAAGAAGCACCGGCUAACUACGUGCCAGCAGCCGCGGUAAUACGUAGGGUGCGAGCGUUAAUCGGAAUUACUGGGCGUAAAGCGUGCGCAGGCGGUUUUGUAAGUCAGAUGUGAAAUCCCCGAGCUCAACUUGGGAACUGCGUUUGAAACUACAAGGCUAGAGUAUGGUAGAGGGGGGUAGAAUUCCACGUGUAGCAGUGAAAUGCGUAGAGAUGUGGAGGAAUACCAAUGGCGAAGGCAGCCCCCUGGACUAAUACUGACGCUCAUGCACGAAAGCGUGGGGAGCAAACAGGAUUAGAUACCCUGGUAGUCCACGCCCUAAACGAUGUCUACUAGUUGUUGGGAGAGUAAAAUCUCUUAGUAACGCAGCUAACGCGUGAAGUAGA